AGUCUGGGAUGAAAAAUUGCCAAAUCUGAACACCAGAAGAUAAAACGAUCUUCCAGAUAUAUACAGUAUGCAGUUCUGAGA
ensembl:snoRNA